AGUCAUGAUUACUAUUCCUUCUUCAAUAGUGAUUGUGAUCAGCGAUGCGGAUGUGUUGCCCCACAUUCGUAUCGCGCU
rnacentral:antisense_RNA from 1 species